UGAGCCUGAGAAGAAGGGUGUUUUUUUUUAAAUUGCUCCUUUGGUCAACGUGACCCGUAUUACUUCAUUUGUCGAUCGACAGUUCGCGAGGUGACACACGAAAAUGCAAUCAGUCAUUUAUUUCCACUUGGCAUAGUCUACCUUCAUUGGAAGAAUAGAGCAACGAAAAGCAGCCAUACUGCCCCGACGAACUCGAGGAUUUUCCACGUUGACCUCGAAUGGCGUCCAAAUUACUUUUGGCACUAAAAAGUAAAUUUCCCGAGACUAGUCCUGCAUGGACGCGCACAGGAGUGGAGAGGAUGCGAACAAUGAAAUUGGCUGCCAAAAGCCUGUAGGGGGCAGCGUGAACGUCUGGUCGGAACUGCUCCGGCCGGAAGUUGACACUGCAGACGUAGAAGAUGAUUCGACUGUAUUCCACAUGCCUCUGCCUGUCGCGUUGCUGCCUAAACUUUGGUGAUAACUUUGCAACCGCCGCUGUUUCAAAGUUCAGUCUUCAACUUAUUGCUUCUAAUUGUAUUAUUGUCUAAAUAAUGCAGCCUAUUUAGAAUAGACGGCAGCACAAUCGGA
rnacentral:lncRNA from 1 species